UUUAAAAUAGUGACAAAAUAAAUCAAAUGCCAUCCGAGAGAUUCUUUGAGGUUAGGUUGUUUCCCUUCUCUUUAUGCCAGAAUUUGUCCGUGACUCAGCUCUGACAAAUUGUUCCUCUCCAGCAAAAUAGUAACAUAAAUUCUUGCAUCUAAAGGUAAUCCAUUUCUAAUCCACCAACAAAGCUUCCAUUUUUAUGCUCUCCCUUUGAUGUUUGCUCUAUGUCUUUACCUUGAAAUCAUUUUGUUUUGUUCAAGUUUUGGAUCUGACUGUAAAUUAGGGUUUUUUUGAUCUGAUAUAGAAUGCAAUCUGCAGUAAUUGAUUGCUGAAAUUCUGUUUGGAUUAGUGGGUUUUGUUUCUUGAUGCCUCAAGUCAUCUUUUGGACUUGAAAGUUUUGAUCUUUUUGCUGCACGUGCAAUGAAUUAGAGCUUACAUUUGGAGUGGAAUUUUUAUUGGUUCAAUUAGGGUUUUGGCUUUUGAUUGCUUUUGGAGCAAUAAGGUUUUUUUGCGUUUGAGAAUCCAUCACUAUGGAUGGUAGUGCUGGGGAGUCAUCUGAAUCUGGGUCUAUUGUAUCUAGUUCACAAUCCUCGAAAAAUGGGGCGCAUGAUGAUAAUGGUUGUCCUAGGCAAGUGUCACCUGUUAGAAUUGAUGGGUCAAGGAAUACGAGUCCCAUGGGUCGCGUUGGACUGAGAAAUACUAGUCCUUCGAGACAAAAGGUGAUUAAAACCAAACCACGUGGUUUAGAUGAGGAAACGAUAGCUACAUUUGGUAAGGUUGUCCACCCUGAUGUUCAAAUGGAGGAUAACAUAUGGGCUAUGUUGCCUGAGGAUCUAUUGAAUGAGAUUUUAGUAAGGGUUCCUCCAUUUAUGAUAUUCCGUCUUCGUUCUGUUUGUAAACGAUGGAAUUCAAUUCUCCAAGAUAGUAGUUUCCUUAAAUUUCACUCCCAAGUUCCAUCUCAUGGGCCUUGCCUUUUGACAUUUUGGAAGAACCCGCACACCCCACAAUGCUCAGUUUUCAGCUUGCCCUUGAAAGCUUGGUAUAGAAUUCCGUUCACAUUUUUGCCACAGUGGGCAUUUUGGUUGGUUGGUUCUUCAGGGGGCCUUGUUUGUUUUUCUGGACUUGAUGGGCUAACUUUCAAAACUGUAGUUUGUAAUCCGCUCACACAAACUUGGAGGACAUUGCCUAGCAUGCAUUAUAAUCAGCAAAGGCAGUUAAUAAUGGUUGUGGAUAGAAUAGACCGUUCAUUCAAAGUGAUAGCCACCGGUGAUAUUUAUGGGGAUAAGUCAUUGCCUACUGAAGUGUAUGAUUCAAAACUUGACAGAUGGUCGCUUCACCAGAUAAUGCCUGCAGUCAACCUUUGCUCCUCAAAGAUGGCUUAUUGUGACUCCAGACUGUACCUGGAAGCCCUUUCACCUCUUGGUUUGAUGAUGUAUAGGCUUGACACAGGUUACUGGGAACACAUUCCAGCAAAAUUUCCCAGGUCCUUGUUGGAUGGAUAUCUGGUAGCUGGCACUCAGAAGCGUCUGUUUUUAGUUGGAAGGAUUGGCCUUUAUAGUACUCUUCAGAGUAUGAGAAUUUGGGAAUUAGAUCAUGCUAAGAUUACAUGGGUGGAGAUUAGUAGGAUGCCACCAAAGUAUUUUCGAGCUCUGUUGAGGUUAUCAGCUGAAAGAUUCGAGUGCGUUGGUCAGGACAACUUGAUUUGCUUUACAUCUUGGAAUCAAGGAAAAGGUCUUCUAUAUGAUGUGGAUAAGAAGGUCUGGUCUUGGAUUGCUGGAUGUGCGCUUCAGUCAUACAACUGCCAGGUCUGUUUCUAUGAGCCAAGAUUCGAUGCCUACAUCUAUUGAGCUGGAAAUCUUGCUCUCUCUUCUGAACAUGUGAUUACAAGGCUUUGUUCUGUUGGCUGAUUGUGAGUAAUGAGUUGAGUCCCUUUAACUUUGCAUACUAAAUGGUGAGAGCUUUUCUUAUCAGCUAACGAUUGUAGCUCUUGGAAUCAAGACUCUGGCUUGAGCAGUGCUGCUCUCCAGUCAAUUUGUGAAGGGUUGGAAUUGUUGAAGAAUGUAAUCUAUGGCUAACGAUAUCUUGGGGAGAAUUUGUGGGACAAUAUUUCUUGCACCCAUGACCUAUGUGGAUAGUUUCUGGAAAAAAUGGGCGGGCAUCAUUAUUGCAGGCCUUGCAUUUGAGGGAUACCUCUUUUAGUUACUCCAUUGCAACCUGUACAGGUAAGGGAUGCAUUUUUUUGACCUACAAUAUAUAUGCAAACAUGGUUUUCCAUUGAAGAAGCUUGGGUGGAAGGAAAAGUAUUCCUUCAGAGGGUAGAAAAAAUGAAAAUAACAGAAAAAGAGAGACGAGAUGCUGGAAUCUCCUGAAUCACAGGAGUACUUCUAAGGAGCUUGUUACAACAUGCAGACUUUCUUCUUGAUUUUUCCAGCUUAGCAACAGAAUAAGAACAUUCCUGACUUUACCAAGUAAAAGAUAAAAAAACGGCAUGUAUCGGCUUAACAUUGCCUGAACAAACAUUGUCGUU